AGAUGAGUCUUCCCUGUCGCUUUAAGCGACCUAAAGGAACGUUUAAGACUAAGACGUUGAUAGGCUGGGUGUGUAAGCGUAGCGAUACGUUGAGCUAACCAGUACUAAUGAACCGUGAGGCUUAACCUGACAACACCGAAAGUGUUUUG
rnacentral:rRNA from 1 species